ensembl:lncRNA
GACCACAGUGGCAGCAGGGGGGGUGAUGUAGUAGAGAGGAUGGCCAGCCAGAGGGAUGGCAGGGGUGGUGGUGGUGGUUGGCGGGGGGAUGGGCAGCGGCGGGAUGGGCAACACAUGAUACCAAUUACAGCAGAACCUCUGGGAAUUAGGCAGUGGCUUAAAAAAAAAAAACUUCCCAGGAGAUUCUAAUACACAAGCAAGGCAGAAAACACUAAAUGUUGGCCUCUCCUGCAUCAGCUGCAGAUGGAGGACAUCCUGUCUCUGUGGCUUGUGGGUCCAGAGACUGGGGACUUCUUUCACCUGUGUGAGCAUGUGGGUGAACAGCCUGCAGCGGCUGCCCCUGCGUUCAUGCUCUUGCUAAGUAAUAGGGUGUUUUCAACCACGGCACAGAACGUCCGUCGUUGCAAAAAGGAGUAUUGCUAUCUGUGAUUAAAACACCAGCAGCACCUUAACGUCAUUUUCAUGCUUAUGAAUAAUUUAUUUUUUAUCUUAAUGUUGUAUUAACGCUGCUGUGCGUGCUAUUAUCUCCUCUUUUAUUUCAAGGAAAAAUAUGGCAAAAUGCUCGAGUUGUCACAAAGGCCCGUGAUUCUCACAGCUGCGGCUUCAGACAGAGAAGCUCUCGGUUGGGAGGGAACAAAUCUGACGCCAAGGCCUUUAUCUGGGAGGAGCUUGGGUGCUGGUGGGCAUGCGGGGAGGAGGGGCCGGCUGUUAAUUUAGACAACAUAAGGCUGAUGGAAACAAGCCUUGAAACAAGAGUUGAAUAUAUUUUGCAAGAUUUUAUAUACUUUUAAAGUCCCUGAUAUUGCCCGAUCCAAGAUAUAUUUAUUCUCAAAAUCUGGGCGUGAGGGCACCUUCAAGUUACAGGGGCCCUUCAGUUUGUAUUCCCUCCCACCUGCCUUUGUAUUUGGGAUCCAUUUGUCUGAUUGGCUCCUUAGACUGGGAAAAAAGCCAACAAAAACAAGCUCUGUUUUGAUGAUUUCAUGUGUAAGACACAGCCCUUAAGAAGCUGAGAAUCCUGUGCAGAGGGACACAAGUCAAUUAUAAACCAAGUCAAAAGUGGGAGGAUAGAGAAAAGGACUAGGAAUAUAGGGGAGGGCUAUCUAAUGUAGCCCAGAGGGUGGGUGGAUCUAUAAAGUUUUCUUAGAAGAGAUCACAUUUAAUUUGGGUGUUGAAAGAUGAACAGGAGUCUGCUAGAAGAAGUAGGCAGAGGAUAGCGGUGGUGGGAGUGGUGUUGAAGAAAGGUGGAGAGAGAAAUUGAGUUGCGUUUCUCCCAGCGCCCAGGGAGUGGAUGAGGCCGACAGGAGACAGGAAGACAGCUUAGUCCUACUUCAGUCUGGAGUGAGAUUGACUGGGUGCUGUUUCCUCUUCCCUCUGGGGUUUGAGCGUGGCCACUUAGUAGAAGGAAUUUAGACUCGGGGGCUCGGGAGAGCUGGUGGUGAAUCCUGGCUCUCCCUUUGCCAGCCGUGAAGAACUGGGCAUGUUCUUUUUCUUCUCUGCACCUCAGUUUUCUCAUCCUGCUUAUUAUGGUUGAUAAUGACAUCGGUGCCAGAGCCUGAGGGCUUAUUUCAGAAACAGGGGUGACCCCGGUGGGACGGAGCAUGUGUGUGUAGCAGGCAGGACAGUGCUGGCGGCACAUGGGCACAGGAAGCUCUGUGAACUGAGCUGUCGGUCAGAGGGAGGAGCAGGGCUCACGUCCGAGACUCCUGAAAGAUUCCUCAGUGGGGAGGCCACAAGCAGAGAGACGAGCGGGGGUGGCACCCUGGAGGCAGACAGGGAAAGGUUCUAAUGCUGAUAGUUUGAUCGGCAGCGCAGCUGGCCAGACAACGUCGGAAACUCCACAGAGACGACCUCGUCUCGUCCUCACACCCAUCCUGUGAGAGAGAAGCUAUUUCUUUAUUGCGCUGCCUUCCUGGCCAGGCUUGCCAGAGCUUUCCACAUUCAAGUCCAAAGGGUGAUGCUGCAUUUACUUGGGACCUGGCUGCCAGCCUUGCACCCAGAGCACAGGAUGCUGGAACCACACACCCUCCUCCAGGAGCCCCAAUCCCGGGAGGGAGACAGAGCCGGAGCGGAUGUUAAGCAGUGCGCCCACGUCCUGCUCCGCUCCCCUGUGACCUUCUCACCUGGGCAGCUGCCUGCAGUGUAACCCGCGCAGAUGGCUUUCCUCUGGAUUAUGAGCCUGUUGCUGGGAUUCUGCACAACAGAGGAGGACCGCUUCCUUCUGAUGCUCGACUCCACCUGUGUCUGCGGCUGCCGUCCUGGGAACGACUGUGCCACCAGGCCUCGCUGUCACGUCCCCCUGUCCUGCGUCCAGGGUUCCCACCUGCAGCUGGCUGGCAGCCGUGUGCUGAGCUGUGUGGCGAUCUGUGACAGAGCAGGGGAAGUGCCUUCCCCCUUCCGGGACACCGUGGAACGGAGGCCCCGAGCAGAGUUGCUUUGCGCUAAUGUGUCGCACAGUGCAGUGGCAGCUUCUAUUUCUUGUUUCUCUUGGAGCCAUCUGUCUGUUUCUGACCCAGAUAAGUGUUCAGGAGGCUGGGCCGUGGGAGGUGUAGAGAGGCAGCUACAGUGCUGGGCUCGGAAUGCCUUCCUCCAACCACAGGCCAGGCUUUAGCUGCUCUUCUUAGGGUGAGCUCUUUUCUGGGAGCUCCUCAGCUUCCCAGAAGGUAGUCGUCUCCCCUGGGCCACCCCAGCAGCUUGUCAGACUGGCUGGCUUCACGUUCGGCUUGGCUUCUCUCUCAGGAAUAGCCCCUGCCUCUUGGAAAACAGGCUUGAUUCAGACGCUCCCAUCAGUCCGCCACACACGCACUCCUGGGCCAUCAGAGACCCUUGCGGCUGCAGCCCAGGCCCGAUGAGCUUUCCGCUUCACAGGGUAAGAGAAAAGGUCACUUUGGGGACACUCAGCACAAGUUUCAUAUUUCUCCAAAAUUUGGGCCCCCCCUUUCAGCUCCAUUCUCCCGCCCACAGUCAAGCCCGAAUGCAUAAAGCAGCCACGUAUCCAGAACUCCUGCGGCCUCGUGUGCUUAUUGGCAGCACCUGAAUCCCAGAAUAGACAUUUCCCUAUUAAGGAACAGAAACGAUGGAAGGAGAACAAAGCCACCCUUUAUCGGAGCAGAUUGCUUUACCUGAAACAGCCCUCUAACAGACGUGCUCCUGAA